rnacentral:rRNA from 1 species
CCUACGGGAGGCAGCAGUCUGGAAUUUUGCGCAAUGGGCGAAAGCCUGACGCAGCGACGCCGCGUGGGGGACGAAGGUUUGCGGACUGUAAACCCCUUUUAUCGGGGAAGAUAAUGACGGUACCCGAUGAAUAAGCCCCGACUAACUACGUGCCAGCAGUCGCGGUAAUACGUAGGGGGCGAGCGUUAUCCGGAUUUAUUGGGCGUAAAGGGCGCGUAGGCGGCCUCUCAAGUUGGAUGUGAAAGGCCCCGGCUCAACCGGGGAGAGUCGUCCAAUACUGAUGGGCUUGAGGACAGCAGAGGGAGGCGGAAUUCCCGGAGGAGGGGUGAAAUGCGUAGAUAUCGGGAGGAACACCGGCGGCGAAGGCGGCCUCCGGGGCUGCUCCUGUCGCUAAGGCGCGAAAGCGUGGGAAGCAAACCGGAUUAGAUACCCGAGUAGU